rnacentral:rRNA from 1 species
AACGAACGCUGGCGGCAUGCCUAACACAUGCAAGUCGAACGAUGCCUUCGGGCAUAGUGGCGCACGGGUGCGUAACGCGUGGGAAUCUGCCUUUCGGUUCGGAAUAACUCAGGGAAACUUGAGCUAAUACCGGAUAACGUCGCAAGACCAAAGAUUUAUCACCGAAAGAUGAGCCCGCGUAGGAUUAGCUAGUUGGUGAGGUAAAGGCUCACCAAGGCGACGAUCCUUAGCUGGUCUGAGAGGAUGAUCAGCCACACUGGGACUGAGACACGGCCCAGACUCCUACGGGAGGCAGCAGUGGGGAAUAUUGGACAAUGGGCGAAAGCCUGAUCCAGCAAUGCCGCGUGAGUGAUGAAGGGCUUAGGGUUGUAAAGCUCUUUUACCCGGGAAGAUAAUGACGGUACCGGGAGAAUAAGCCCCGGCUAACUCCGUG